CUUUCCAUACUAAGUCACAGGACAUUUCAUCUCUCUGCCAGCAGUAUUCAAGACCAGAGCAAGUCGGAACCUGCAGUUGGGUUUGACAAGUGCCUGACCACUGCCCCUCAGGGACUCAGAACGAGGGAAGAGGCGUGCUCAUCUCCACAUCGCUGCGUCAUGGGCAGAAUUCUCCAAGGCUGCCACUCCUAGCAGAAAUGAUGGGGGUGCUAAAUGAGUUCCUCCGCUGGAAGAGCGGAUUCCUACUGAGAAGCCGCCCCCUCCCCUCCACCACUUCUUUUCCCUGCACGGACACCUGGGUGCCAGAGGAUGCGCUCACAUUCUCCUCCUUCCUGAUCUGCUAUACACAGAUGGGGUUAUAAGGACACAAGCUUCUUCCAGAAGUAACAGGCAACCCAAUGGGAAAAUGAGCCAAUGACUUAAUGGCCUCCUCACCAAAGUGGUGAUUGCUCCCAUGGAGUUAAGAAGAAAGUAGAUGAAUAAGAGGAGUGAAUGAAACUGCUCAUGGAGAAGAACAGCUCCCACCCAUCUUGACGUGGGCCAAGCAUAAGAAACAUCAUCCUGGGAGGCAGGAUCCACCAGCGACCUGUGUCCAGGUGUCUGUCUGUCCCUUGUGCAGGGAUGGGUAAGGUAGACCAGCCGUCUGCUGCUUGAGCUUUUUUACGGUUCGCGUGGACUUCCAAGAACAUCAGAAGGAAUGUCUCCAGACACAUUCACCUUGCUAGAUUGUAGAAGCAGCAAGAAUCCAGGCCAAAAACUAAAGGACAUUUUUUAAAGUGAAGAAGGUGCUGUCCCUCCAGAUGGUGACCGCCUGUGCCUGGUAACUCCAGAAACGCUAUCUGCUGCCUCUGGAUUUUAGUAGGCUGUUCCUUCAACCACAGUCUGCAGCCAGGCAUUCAUCUCCUGGGAGCCCAGCUGCAGGCACGUCUUGCGCAGCAGAGCCACUGGCCUUGCUGAGUGGGAGAAGAAAGGAAAGCAAAACAGAGCCACAGACCACACCCACCUGUGGAAUGCUAUGCACUCAAGAAGCAAGACAGCUGCCAAGUCCUAUUAGAAAAUGCACAACUUCUUUCUCACCAGAAUGAGCCAUUCUCCUCCAUAUCUGGAAGUGUGUUGGAGUGUUUUUAAGCAACCUGAUUUGAGCCCUUUUGUGUAGGAUAUUUCCAAGUCAAGCUCUGUGUUGCAGUGUCUGUAUCUGAAGCAGAGUUUAGUGGAUAUGUGUCCAUUAGUGUCCAUGUGUAUCCGUGUAUGUGUGUGUGUGUGUGUGUGU